GGAGAGAUGCCAGAGUGGACGAAUGGGGCUGACUGCUAAUCAGUUGUGCGCGCAAGCGUACCUAGGGUUCGAAUCCCUAUCUCUCCGCCA
rnacentral:tRNA from 1 species